ensembl:snoRNA SNORA68B small nucleolar RNA, H/ACA box 68B
CUCUCACCUAAACUCAAGAAUCACUGUUUCUUGAGUGGUGGUUUAAACAGAGGUGCAAACAGCAAGUGAAUCUCAUCGCCUUUGCGGGGCUGUGGCCAUGCCCCUCAAAGUGAAUUUGGAGGCUCUACAGCC